AGGGUUCAAUCCCGUGCUGGUACGCCCCCGCCGCUCGCGCGGCGGGGGCGUCGCAAGAGGGAACCCGGUGUGAGUCCGGGACUGCCCCGCAGCGGUGAGCGGGAACGACCGCCGUCAUCACGCACUGGGCCGCACGGCCUGGGAAGCGACGGCCAGUAGGACGCCUUUCGAGGCGGCGCCCGCGAGUCCGAAGACCUGCCCGCACGACCGCUUCGGG
rnacentral:ncRNA from 1 species